CGUCGAGCGGCGGACGGGUGAGUAAUGCCUAGGAAAUUGCCCUGAUGUGGGGGAUAACCAUUGGAAACGAUGGCUAAUACCGCAUAAUGCCUACGGGCCAAAGAGGGGGACCUUCGGGCCUCUCGCGUCAGGAUAUGCCUAGGUGGGAUUAGCUAGUUGGUGAGGUAAGGGCUCACCAAGGCGACGAUCCCUAGCUGGUCUGAGAGGAUGAUCAGCCACACUGGAACUGAGACACGGUCCAGACUCCUACGGGAGGCAGCAGUGGGGAAUAUUGCACAAUGGGCGCAAGCCUGAUGCAGCCAUGCCGCGUGUGUGAAGAAGGCCUUCGGGUUGUAAAGCACUUUCAGUCGUGAGGAAGGUAGUGUAGUUAAUAGCUGCAUUAUUUGACGUUAGCGACAGAAGAAGCACCGGCUAACUCCGUGCCAGCAGCCGCGGUAAUACGGAGGGUGCGAGCGUUAAUCGGAAUUACUGGGCGUAAAGCGCAUGCAGGUGGUUUGUUAAGUCAGAUGUGAAAGCCCGGGGCUCAACCUCGGAAUUGCAUUUGAAACUGGCAGACUAGAGUACUGUAGAGGGGGGUAGAAUUUCAGGUGUAGCGGUGAAAUGCGUAGAGAUCUGAAGGAAUACCGGUGGCGAAGGCGGCCCCCUGGACAGAUACUGACACUCAGAUGCGAAAGCGUGGGGAGCAAACAGGAUUAGAUACCCUGGUAGUCCACGCCGUAAACGAUGUCUACUUGGAGGUUGUGGCCUUGAGCCGUGGCUUUCGGAGCUAACGCGUUAAGUAGACCGCCUGGGGAGUACGGUCGCAAGAUUAAAACUCAAAUGAAUUGACGGGGGCCCGCACAAGCGGUGGAGCAUGUGGUUUAAUUCGAUGCAACGCGAAGAACCUUACCUACUCUUGACAUCCAGAGAACUUUCCAGAGAUGGAUUGGUGCCUUCGGGAACUCUGAGACAGGUGCUGCAUGGCUGUCGUCAGCUCGUGUUGUGAAAUGUUGGGUUAAGUCCCGCAACGAGCGCAACCCUUAUCCUUGUUUGCCAGCGAGU
rnacentral:rRNA from 1 species